rnacentral:tRNA from 1 species
UUCCCCUAGCUUAAAACUAUAAAGCAUAUCCCUGAAGAGGAUAAUAUUGUAGGAGUAAU